AACGAACGCUGGCGGCAUGCCUAACACAUGCAAGUCGAACGAGACCUUCGGGUCUAGUGGCGCACGGGUGCGUAACGCGUGGGAACCUGCCCUUAGGUUCGGAAUAACUCCCCGAAAGGGGUGCUAAUACCGGAUAAUGUCUUCGGACCAAAGAUUUAUCGCCUUUGGAUGGGCCCGCGUUGGAUUAGCUAUUUGGUAGGGUAAAAGCCUACCAAGGCGACGAUCCAUAGCUGGUCUGAGAGGAUGAUCAGCCACACUGGGACUGAGACACGGCCCAGACUCCUACGGGAGGCAGCAGUGGGGAAUAUUGGACAAUGGGCGAAAGCCUGAUCCAGCAAUGCCGCGGGAGUGAUGAAGGCCUUAGGGUUGUAAAGCUCUUUUACCCGGGAUGAUAAUGACAGUACCGGGAGAAUAAGCUCCGGCUAACUCCGUG
rnacentral:rRNA from 1 species